rnacentral:tRNA from 1 species
GCCUGGGUGGCUCAGUCGGUUGAGCGUCUGACUUUGGCUCAGGUCAUGAUCUCACAGCUCGUGAGUUCGAGCCCCGCGUCGGGCU